GGAACAGAAGACGAUCUUGUCUGAGGAAAGAAAAGAAAAUGAGAAAGUGGGAAAAAAAGGGAUCCAAGACCUGACGGUGAUGUGGCCGUGUUGCUGGUGAGAAUGAGAAGCAAUUUGGAGCUGCUCAUUAACAGAUCCUGUCUCUGGACUGUGGGAGGAAACUGACACUGAGCUGCCCAGAAGUGUGAAUCUCAGCCUGAAUGUGUUGGAGUGUCUGCGUGCGAUGGACCAGAGACUUCUCCUGGGUGUUCCCUGCUUCAUGUGUAAAAGGCCGAUGAUAUCUCAUCAUAGGACUGAUACAGCAGCCAAAGUCCAUAUUAGGAGGCAGGCGAGCAGUGUGGCAGACCUCCACUCAGACGUCCAGGGUUCGUGUCCCCCUCACACCGGGAGCUGUUUUGUUUUCCCUCAAAACUACUGGCUAAGGCUGGACCUUAAAAAACAGGGUAAGGGUUUGAAAAAAGGCCCAUUCUGCCUAGCCAUUUUGGGCUACCAUGGCAACAAUCUCCACCAACAUAAACAAACAGGGACGUGGCCAAAGAGGAACACAGAGGCUACACAUUUUCUACACAGUUCUUGAGACCUACACAGAGC
rnacentral:lncRNA from 1 species